rnacentral:rRNA from 1 species
AUACGUAGGUGGCGAGCGUUAUCCGGAAUUACUGGGUGUAAAGGGUGUGUAGGCGGGGAGCCAAGUCAGAUGUGAAAAUUACGGGCUAAACCCGGAACCUGCGUCUGAAACUGAAUUACUAGAGUACGGGGGAAGAGAAGGGAACUCCUUGUGUAACGGUGAAAUGCGUAGAUAUAUGGAAGAACCACAGUGGCGAAGGCGCUUCACUAGCCCGAAACUGACGCUCAGUCACGAAAGCGUGGGUAGCAAAUAGGAUUAGAUACCCUAGUAGUCCACGCUGUAAACGAUGACAACUAAAUAUUGCCGCGAGGCAGUGUUGAAGCUAACGCAUUAAGUUGUCCGCCUGGGGAGUACGGUCGCAAGACUGAAACUUAAAGGAAUUGACGGGG